rnacentral:lncRNA from 1 species
UGAAAUUCUUAUUCUGUAAUGUCCUUUCCUCGUGAAUUGGUCUCCAAACGCCUCGAAUCUGGUUAUAAAUAAUUUGUUUCAGUCAAUAAAAUUCAUUGGAAUUAAUCCCAUAAGAAAAUAAUAAUUUUUCAUAAAAAUUCGAAAAUUAGCUCAAAAAUUGCCUGUGGGGCCCACGCCUCGGAACUCGACAAAAGUUAUAAAAUCCGGAAGCCCAUUCAACCACGAGUCUAACCAUACCAAUUUUACCAAAAUCCGACCCCAACUCGACCCUCAAAUCUUCAAUUUAAACUAAGAGGGUUUUCAAAUUUUCCCAACUCAAUUCACCAAUUAAAUGAUAAAAACAACCAUGGAUUCGGGUAAUUUAACCAAUAUUGAGUUAAGAACACUUAUCCUGUUAUUUUCUCUGAAAGUCACCCAAAAUCGCCUCAAAUCCGAGCUCCAAAUCGUCAAAAUUCAGAACUUAAACUCACUGCCCAAACUUUUCUUCUUCGCGAACGCGGUCAGUGCCUCGCGUUCGCGAAGCACAAAAUAACUCUCGUCCAAAUUCCUCUUUCGCGAACGCGACAUCAUCACCCUCGCAUUCGCGAAGCACAAAAUGCCUCUACCUCAAUGCCUUCUACGCGAACGCGUUCAACCCAUCACGAACGCGAUGCUUCGUUCCCUCUCACUACGCGAACGCGACACCCCCUACGCGAACGCAUAGACUAAUAGCCUGGGGGUCUUCGGGUGCUUCCUCUCUUCUUCGCGAACGCGUAACACCUCUCGCGUUCGCGAUGCACACCCAGUCCACCCUUUGCGAACGCGUGCUUCUCUUUGUGAACGCGAAGAGAAAUAUUGCCAGCCUCUCAGUCCCUCUUCGCGAAUGCGAGGCUCCACUCGCGAACGCGAUGAAGGAAGCCAGAUGGUGUAUCAGAAAAAAUCCAGCAGAGUUCCAAGUCCAAAAUCCAACCCGUUAACCAUCCAAAACUCACCCGAGCCCUCGGGACCUCAACCAAAUAUACCAGCAAGUCCUAAAAUAUCAUACGGAUUUAGUCGAACCCUCAAAUCACCUCAAACAACGCUAAAACUAUGAAUUAUACCCCAAUUCAAGCCUAAUGAACUUUGAAAUUUCUAAUUUCUACAAAUGACUCCGGAACCUAUCAAAUCACGCCCGAUUGACCUCAAAUUUUGUACACAAGUCAUAAAUGACAUAACAGAGGUAUUUUAAUUUUCAGAAUCGGAUUUCGACCCCGAUAUCAAAAAGUCAAACCCCGGUCAAACUUCUCAAAAAUUAAACUUUCGGCAUUUCAAGCCUAAUUCCUCUACGGACCUCCAAAUAAUAUUUCGGAUACACUCUUAAGCCUAAAAUCACCAUACGGAGCUAACGGAACUAUCAGAAUUCAAAUCCAAGAUCGUUUGCAUAUAGGUCAACAUCCGAUUGACUUUUCCAACUUAAGUUUUUACUUAAGAGACUAAGUGUCUCAAUUCACUCUGAAAUCACUCCGGUCCCGAACCAACUAACCCGACAUAAUAUAAUAUAGUUGAAUAACACAAAAAGAAGUAGAAAUGGGGAAAAUGAGUCUAUAACUCUCUAAACGACCGGCCGGGUCGUUACAAACUUGAUAUCAAAUCAAAUAUUUUGCUCGAGUAUGCUUGUCGUAAGACUUGAAUUAUGAAAAUAGAACGAACAAAAAAUACUCCACUAUUUCUUGAAUCAAUACACUGAACUCUGAACUCUGAAGCUCCACAAUAAUACUUGAUCUUUGGCUAUUGCAGAAUGGAGGCAUGAAUUGAAGAACAAAGUAUAAAAAUAUAAUAUAGUGCACAACUCUGUUUUCACUUUGCUCGAGAAAGUUGUGGUCCACUAUCUCAAAUGUGUUCUCUUUUUAUGCAAACUUCUCACGUAUUGUUUCACUUUAUAGUUUUUUAAUUUUUAUUUUAUUAUAUAUAUAUAUAUAUAUAUAUAUAUAUAUAUAUAGAGAGAGAGAGAGAGAGAGAGAGAGAACUUAGGUAUUACCAAAAAAUGGGGCCCUCAUAAAUGUCGGGCUUAAAACAAUUGCUUUACCCGCUUAAUGGACGGUCCGCCCCUGUGCAACACGUUAACAUUAUGUAUUAUUUUUUUUGUUUUUCACCCGGUGUUAGGUAUAUGUACAAGGGCCGACUAAAUCCGGAUUUGUGUCGGAAAGUUCCACAUUGGGGGUAAAACGCUCACUAACAAAGGCGGCGUUAUACUUAUGUCACGACCCAAUUUAGGAUCAUGACCGGCACCUAGGAGCAAGUGCCCCCAAGUGAGCCUCAUCGGUAUUUUUCAGAAAAUCGGACAGAGUUUCCCCUAUUUUUGGACUAUCCCAAAAACUUUCAUAUCUCAUAAACAAGUAACAACCAACCAAUAUUCACCUAAAUCAGUCACAAUCUUCAUCAACUAAUCACAAACGGGUUUCCACCAAUAUUACCAAUCUCCUCAACAUAAUAAAACCAAAACCAACUCUAAAAAUACAGAAAGAAAGUAUAAUACUAGUAACUAGUCCAUAUCAACAAAUGAAUACUCACGACACUAAAAGGAUGACCAUGGAGCGACUCUAAGAGUUCAAAGAAAAGACCAUAAUAAUAAAUAAAAUCUCCGCCCACGCGAAUAAGUGCGAGGCUCACCAAAAACUAUCAACCUAUGCGCUCUAAUUAACGAAAUCCUCGCCUGCGUCAACUGCUGUCUCUGUAAAAAAAAAAUUAGCGGAAAAUGAGUCGCUAGCUCAGUGAGUAAUAACACUUAACCACAACCAUUUUUAUUGGGGAUAAGUCAGAAAAUAUGCUAGUAUAUAUAUUAAACAGAAAAUAUCAUAAGAAUGCCAUUUCAGAAACAAUAAACAAUAAGCAGUCUCAUCAUGUUUUUCAUGUAAUAUAAAUCAAUUGACAAUUCAGUAAUAAGCUCAGUAAAAUACUAUGUAAUAUCAAUUUUCAUGUUUGGGAGGUUUCAAUGAAUGGAUCAUGUAAUCGGUAUAACUGUGGACUUCUUCGUAAGAAGUCAAAUAUAACGGUAGUCCCUACUCGAGGAAAAUCGAUAACGGUAUGCUAGUUCUACCUUCCCACUAGCGAGGGCUAUAACUGUACUCGGUAAUUACAAGGUGCACCGGGUCUAACGACCCCGCCGUUAGCUACGGGAUCCUUCAAAUUCUACUCCCAUUUAUACUUGUCUCUGUAAUCCGUAUAUACUCAUAGAAAAAUAUUUUAAAAUAAUAUAGGGCAUUUCAGUUCUUAUCAAAUCAUGUAAUUUCAUUUCGAUAACAGUAAAUUCAAGUAACGGUCAAAUUUAUCUAGUGACAACAAGAAUAUUUAAAAUAGCGGUAAUCAUGUCAAAUAACUAUUUCGGUAUCAUAUCGAGUAAAAGACUUGUCCCACAUGCAACUCAAAAUAAUCGGUGACAUAUUCAUAUUAAAAAUUAUGUGUAAAUCAUGCAAGUUAUGAAAAACAUAAAUUGCGAAAGAUUACUACUCACAGUACUCGUGCCGAAUACCAAAUGCUUCACCUCGAGCAAUUAGUACAACUUCUUCCAAUCAAUCUAUAAUCAUAUCAACACCGAUCUCGUGUUAAUUGCCUCAUUUAGGCUAAAUCCAUCACUAAUUUAGAAUACCCAAUCCUCCGAGUUUUAUAUUUUAUCACCAAUUCGCCGAAUUAUAUUUACCCAUGCUAUGAGUAAUUUAAAUUAGUCCAAAAUCUUUUAAAUAAAAAUGUAUUUAUAUGGUUUAUUCCCUGUACUGUUUAAUUUUCUUAAUCGUGUGCAUAAAUUGAAACUGAAAUAACAUUACUGUCCAUAAUAUUCCUUCUUUUUUUUUCAAAUGAAUUUAUCCUACAAUAACAUUGACCAAUUUCCAAUUGCAUAAUUUGCCCAGAAUAACUCUUAUUGGUAUUAAAUUUCUUAUACCUUGUGAAACCCUUCAAAUAUAUGAACUGAGAUAAAAAAAAAAAUUACCAGAAGAAAAGAAUCCAGAUGAGAAAUUCGAGUAUUACCCGUAAGAACCAGUGCGUAAUUAAGAUUUCUCAAGGUUUGGUUCCAGCCUCUUUCUUCUUCUUCUUCUUCUCCUUCUCCUUUUGUUUCCUCCUCUAUGGUUUUUUUUUUGUUUCUUCUCUGUUCUUUACCAACAGCUUUGCUGCAUCCCUUUUCCCCCUUCCCCUUUUCACGUUUCUCCUUCUAAUGGGCUUUAGCACAUUCUCCUAUUAUUUUAUUUUUUUUUAACUUUAGUUAAAGACUUAUAUGUCCUUAUUAAUAAAAUAUAGGGUAUUACAUCCUCCCCACCUUAUGAAAUUCGGUCCCCGAAUUUAACUCAAGUAUAUACCUGUAGACUGAAACAAAUGAGGGUAUUUCACUUGCAUAUCCUUUUCUACUUCCCACGUAGCUUCUUCAACUGUAUGAUUUCGCCAUAAGACUUUUACGAACUCAAUUUCUUUUGACCGUAGAUUUCUUACUUUCCUAACAAAAAUAUCAAUCGGUUCCUCCUCAUAAGACAACUUCUCAUUAAGCGGUAUAGCAGGUGCUUCAAGCAUCUGAGAUGAGUCUAAUAUACAUUUCCUUAGUAUUGAGACAUGAAAUACUGAUGAAUAAAGGACAACUCGGGAGGAAGUGCCAAACGAUAAUGCACAACUCCCACUCGGUCUAAUAUCUCAUACGGUCCUAUAAACCUGGGGUUCAUCUUACCUCUUUUCCCAAACCGCACCACACCUUUCAUAGGGGAGACUCGUAGAAGCACUUUGUCCCCAAUUGUGAAUGCUAAAUCUCUUCUUCUCUUAUCAGCAUAAGACUUUUAUCUACUUUGAGCUGCAAGCAAUCUCUAUCUGAUUAACUGGACCUUGUCCAUAGCUUCUUGUACUAGGUCAUGUCCCAAUAAGUUAGUCUCACCAUCUUCAAACCAUCCGAUAGGAGAAUGACAUCUUUUACCAUAUAAUGCUUCAUACGGUGCCAUUUGAAUACUGGACUGGAAGUUAUUGUUGUAAGCAAAUUUAGCUAAAGGUAGAUAAGCGUCCCAACUACCUCCAAACUCAAGAAUGCAAGCCCUCAACAUAUCCUCCAAGAUCUGUAUAGUACGUUCAGACUGCCCGUCUGUCUGUAGAUGAAAUGCAGUGCUAAGAUCUACUCGUGUACCCAAUGCUUCUUGAAAAGAUUUCCAAAAGUGUGAGGUAAAUUGUGAUCCUCUAUCAGAGAUGAUGGAUAUUGGAACUCCAUGAUGUCGGACAAUUUCGCUCAUAAAUAUCUGUGCAUACUACACUCCACCAUAUUUAGUCUUCACUGGCAAAAAGUAUGCUGAUUUCGUUAGUCGAUCUACAAUCAUCCAUACAGAUUCAUAACCUCUAAGGGUUCGUGGUAGCCCGGUGACAAAAUCCAUAGUAAUUCUUUUCCAUUGUCACUCUGGAAUCUCAAUUUGUUGUAACAGUUCUGCGGGUCGCUGAUGCUCAGCCUUGACCUGCUGACAAGUCAAAUAAUUAGAAACAAAGUUAGCAACAUCUUUCUUCAUACCUUCCCACCAAUAGAAUUGCUUUAAGUCAUGAUACAUUUUUGUGGAUCCAGGAUGUAUAGUAUAUUUAGAGUUGUGGGCUUCUUCAAGAAUAGCAUGUAUCAACCCAUCUACAUCUACUACACAUAGCGUGUCACCCAUUCGAAGCACACCAUCACUUUCAACAAUCAUAUCCUUGUUUUUACCAGCGAAGGCCUUAUCUAUGUAUUUGCAUAAUCGCUCAUCCUCAUAUUGGGUGGCCUUAAUGCACUCAACUAAUGAAGACUUAGCUUGAGCACAAACCAACAAUGCCUCUGAAUUUCCGACAUUAAAUCGGAUACCUAUAUCUUCUAGUCUCUGAAUAUCUUUAGCCAAAAGUUUCUUUGCAGGAGCUAUAUGUGUCAAACUCCCCAUAGAUUUUCUGCUCAAUGCAUCAACCACCACAUUGGCUUUUCCAAGAUGAUAUAAAAUAGAACAGUCAUAGUCUUUGAGUAGUUCCAUCCACCGAUGCUGCCGAAAAUUCAGAUCUCUCUGCUAAAAGAUAUCCUUCAGACUUUUAUGGUCAGUAUAAAUCUCACAAGUUUCGCCAUAUAGGUAAUGCCUCCAAAUAUUUAGAGCAAAUACCACUGCAGUCAUCUCAAAAUCAUAUGUAGGAUAGUUUUGCUCGUUCUUUUUCAAUUGUCUCGAAGAAUAAGCUAUAACGCGACCAUUUUGCAUGAGAACACAUCCUAGUCCCACCCUCAAGGCAUCACAAAAUACUGUAAAUCCUCCAGAACUUGAUGGUAAGGCUAAUAUUGGUGCAGUUGUCAAACAUGUUUUGAGUUUUUGAAAGCUCUGCUCACAUUCCUCCAUCCACUGAAACUUUGCAUUUUUCUGUGUUAGCUUGGUCAGUGGCGCUACUAUUCUGGAGAAAUCCUGCACAAAAUGCCUGUAAUAGCCUGCUAAGCCUAAAAAGCUGCGAAUCUCUGCAGGAGAAGUAGGCCUGGGCCAUUUCUGCACAGCUUCUGUCUUCUUAGGAUCUACCAUAAUUCCAUCUUUGGAUACAACAUGCCCCUGAAAUGCUACCGAGUCUAGCCAACAUUCACACUUCAAGAACUUAGUAUAAAGCCGAUGCUCUCGCAAUGUCUGCAACACAAUCCUGAGAUGAUUCUCGUGUUCUCCUUGGCUACGAGAAUAUAUCAGGAUUUCGUCAAUAAAUACUAUUACAAAUCUAUCCAAAAAUGGCUUGAACACCCUAUUCAUUAAAUCCAUGAAUGCAGCUGGAGCAUUAGUCAGUCCGAAAGGCAUCACAAGAAACUCAUAGUGCCCGUAUCGAGUUCUGAAAUCAGUCUUAGAAAUAUCUUCAUCUUUGAUUCUAAGUUGAUGGUAACUAGAACGAAGGUCAAUCUUUGAAAAGUAGGCAGAUCCUUGUAACUGAUCAAACAUGUCAUCUAUACAAGGCAACGGAUAUUUAUUGCGUAUUGUUAUCUUGUUCAACUGCCUGUAGUUAAUGCACAUUCUCAGAGAUCCGUCUUUAUUCUUUACGAACAGUACUGGUGCACCCCAUGGAGAUAUACUCGGUCUGAUAAAACUGUUAUCUAACAAAUCCUGCAGUUGUUGUUUUAGCUCCUUCAACUCCGCUGGUGGCAUCUGAUAUGGAGGUAUUGAUAUGGGUUAUGUGUCAGGUGGCAAAUCAAUACCAAAGUCUAUUUCUUGUACUGGAGGCAAUCCUGGUAAAUCCUCAGGAAAUAUAUCAGAAAAUUCUCUCACUACUGGUACAUUUUCUAUACUAACUGUUUCCUUUCUUGUGUCAUUUACAAUAGCUAUGAGACCCAAGCAACCUUUCUUCGGCAGUCAUUGAGCCUUCAUAAAAGAUACAAAUUUGCAAUUCUCUGGAACUUGACCCCCUUUUAGAACAAAACUGGGUUCGUUUGGUAUCUCAAACUUGACUAUCUUUGCAUGACAAUCGACAAUAGCAUAGCAGGAAGAUAACCAAUCCNNNNNNNNNNNNNNNNNNNNNUCCCGGAUCAAUCAACGCAAGUGCAUCAAAUGAACAGACAGAAAGAAUACCUAUAACCACAGCAUUUGAGGCCUGAGCAUCCUGUCUAGUAAAUGCAAAAACUCCCGCCUAACCUCUACCAGCAUUCCCUUGUCCUUGAUUCACAGUAGCACAAUCUCCAGCACCUCGACCUCUAUUUUCUGUACUUGUAGCACCUGAAGUAUUACGAGUAGUCUGAGUAGGUACACCUGACUGAAUAGAAUCCUGGUUGAAAUUUCUCAAAGGCCUAGGGCAAUCCCUCAAGUGAUGUCCCAACUGGCCACACCGAAAACACUCUCCAAUUAAAAUACGACAUUGGCCCAAAUGUGAUCUACCACAGGUCUGGCAGACUGGAGUAGUGGCAUAUAUCUGCCCAGAAUUAUGAUGUCCAGAAGAUAAUGGUCCAAUAUUACCCUGUCUGUAAUGUGGUCUGUAUGUGGACUAUAAAGACAAGUGUGUCCCUGUCUGAGAACUAUGUUGUUGUUGUCCCUGAUUUCCCGCUCUUCGAUUUUCACUAAAACUGCCACUGAAAGACCCUCUUAUCUUGGCCUUCUUACGUAAAUCACUAGCUGUACGAUCCUCACGUCCCUUGGUUUCAAUCUUUUUAGCAAGGUCGACUGCAUCAGAGUAGGAUAAAGUCUUUAUCUGUGGGGCUACUGUAGUGUAUAGACGACCAACCAAUCCAUCAACAAACCUCUGAACUCGAGAUUCUUCGGUAGGCACUAAGUAAGGGGAAUAUCUAGCCAGCUUACAAAACUUCGUGUUUUAUGUUGACACAUCCAUAUCUCGAGUCUGAACCAAUCUCUCAAAAUCACUAGCAUAUUUUUGCAUCAGGCUGUCUGGAAGAAAAUGAUUCAUGAACAAUUUAGUGAAUUCGUCCCAUGUCAGUGGUGCUGCUCCUACUGGCCUUCCUAGCAAUACAGUUUCAUACCAUAUGUUGGCCAUAUCCUCUAGUUUGUAUGUUGCGAGCUCCACGGCUCUCUCACUAGAACAUCCUAGAGCACGUAAUGCCUUGAGUGUCCCAUCCAAGAAACUUUGAGGAUCUGCUGAAUUAUCAGAACCUGUGAAUUUUGGUGAUUUCAAUUUCAUGAACUCUUGUAGGGAUACUUCCUUAUUCCCGAAAGUCGGAGUCUGUGCAGGUGCUUGUGUCUGUAAAGUAGCCUGAGGAGCUAAACUUCCACCCUGAGUAGGCACCAAUGCCUAUAACACAUUCAAUAACCUUGCCACUACGUCUGCAUGUAAGGCAACAGUUGGCACUGGUGGUGGAACGUCCUGAACUCCCUGCCCUUGCACUUGAUCUGGCAUUGCAGCUUGGGGUUGACCCAUGUUCCCAACUUCAGAUUGAGGGGCAGCCUGUAUUCUAGUUUGAUGAAUGCCAACUUGACCGACACCCCGGGUAGCACCAUGUCCAGCACCACGUCCAGCAGAUGAGGGUGUGUGUGUCAUAGCCAUCUGCGAAAUAAAUAUUCUAAAGUCAAUCUCAAGUUAUCUCAACGCACGAUCAAAGAAUGAAAGAAGGGAAAACAUUCCUAGAUGUUCGGGAGCCUCAAGAUCAUAAGUAUGGGCGCCUACAUACCCAUGAACAAGACUCUACUAAACAUUGCUCCAUGACUCGGGACUUAAAGCCUAAGCUCUGAUACCAACUUUGUCACGACCCAAUUUAAGAUCAUGACCGGCACUUAGGAGCAAGUGUCCCCAAGUAAGCCUCAUCAGUAUUUUUCAGAAAAUCGGAUAGAGUUUUCCCUGUUUUUGGACUAUUCCAAAAACUUUCAUGUCUCAUAAACAAGUAACAACCAACCAAUAUUCACCUAAAUCAUUCACAAUCUUCAACAACAAACCACAAACGGGUUUCCAUCAAUAUUACCAACCUCCUCAACAUAAUAAAACCAAAACCAACUCUACAAAUAUGGAAAGAAAGUAUAAUACUAGUAACUAGUCCAUAUCAACAAAUGAAUACUCACGACACUAAAAGGAUGACUAUGGAGCGACUCUAAGAGUUCAAAGAAAAGACUAUAACAAUAAAUAAAAUAUCCGCCCACGCGAAUAAAUGCGAGGCUCACCAAAAACUAUCAACUUGUGCGCUCUAAUUAACGAAAUCCUCGCCUGUGUCAACUGCUGUCUCAGUAAAAAAAAAAGAAUUAGCGGUAAAUGAGUCGCUAGCUCAGUGAGUAAUAACACUUAACCACAACCGUUUUUAUUGGGGACAAGUCAGAAAACAUGCUACUAUAUAUAUUAAACAGAAAAUAUCAUAGAAUGCCCUUUCAGAAACAAUAUAAUCAGUCUCAUCAUGUUUUUCAUGUAAUAUAAAUCAAUUGACAAUUCGGUAAUAAGCUCGGUAAAAUACUGUGUAAUAUAAAUAUUCAUGUUUGGAAGGUUUCAAUGAACGAAUCAUGUAAUCGGUAUAACUGUGGACUUCUUCGUAAAAAGUCAAAUAUAACGGUAGUCCCUACUUGAGAGAAAUCGGUAACGGUAUGCUAGUUCUACCUUCCCACUAGCAAGGGCUAUAAUUGUACUCGGUAAUUACAAAGUGCACCAGGUCUAACGAACCCGCCGUUAGCUACGGGAUCCUUCAAAAUCUACUCCCAUUUAUACUUGUCUCUAUAAUCCGUAUAUACUCAUAGGAAAAUAUUUUAAAAUAAUAUAGGGCAUUUCGGUUCUUAUUAAAUCAUAUAAUUUCAUUUCGAUAACAGUAAAUUCAAGUAACGAUAAAACAUAUCUAGUGACAACAAGAAUAUUUAAAACAACGGUAAUCAUGUCAAAUAACUAUUUCGGUAUCAUAUCGAGUAAAAGACUUGUCCCACAUGUAACUCAAAAUAAUCGGUGACAUAUUCAUAUUAAAAAUCAUGUGUAAAUCAUGCAAGUGAUGAAAAAUACAAAUUGUGGUAAGAUUACUACUCACAGUACUCGUGCCGAAUACCAAAUGCUUCACCUCGAGCAAUUCGUAUAACUUUCUCCAAUCAAUCUAUAAUCAUAUCAACACCGAUCUCGUGUUAAUUAUCUCAUUUAGGCUAAAUCCAUCACUAAUUUAGAAUACACAAUCCUCCGAGUUUUAUAUUUUAUCAUCAAUUUGCCGAAUUAUAUUUACCCAUGUUAUGAGUAAUUUAAAUUAGUCCAAAAUCUUUUAAAUAAAAAUGUAUUUAUAUGGUUUAUUUCCUGUACUGUUCAAUUUUCUUAAUCGUGUGCAUAAAUUGAAACUGAAAUAACAUUACUGUCCAUAAUAUUCCUCCUUCUCUUUUUUUUCAAAUGAAUUUAUCCUACAGUAACAUUGACCAAAUUCCAAUUGCAUAAUUUGCCCAGAAUAACUCUUAUUGGUAUUAAAUUUCUUAUACCUUGUGAAACCCUUCAAAUAUAUGAACUGAGAUAAAAAAAAAUUACCAGAAGAAAAUAAUCCAGAUGAGAAAUUCGAGUAUUACCCAUAAGAACCAGUGCGUAAUUAAGAUUUCUCAAGGUUUGGUUCUAGCCUCUUUCUUCUUCUCCUUCUCCUUUUGUUUUCUCCUCUAUGAUUUUUUUUUGUUUCUUC